rnacentral:lncRNA from 1 species
AUUCAUUCUCGAUUUUCUGUUUCAUUCUUUUUCUGCUCCCGGUUCUUUCACUCUAAAGAAAACCCACAAUUCUCUCUAUCGCGCUAGAUUCUAUUUUUACCCAGGUAUGUUUCUUUUCUGCUUCUCAUAUUUGCAUAGUACGGAUAUUUUUGGGCGAUUUUAUGUAUUGUACUGGAUUACUGAGAUUUUUUUUUUUUUACCUGGUUUUAGAUCCUGGGUAUUGCACUUUUCUCUUUGUGUAGUUUUAGUCAAUUUUGUUGCUCCAGAUAUUGCUAAUUGAUGAAAACAUACGGUAUGGAAUCUUUUGUUUCUUGUUAAUGCUAAUCUUUUUAGCGAUUUUUCU